GACGAACGCUGGCGGCGUGCUUAACACAUGCAAGUCGAGCGAUCCCUUCGGGGAUAGUGGCGCACGGGUGCGUAACGCGUGGGAAUCUGCCCUUGGGUUCGGAAUAACAGUUAGAAAUGACUGCUAAUACCGGAUGAUGUCUUCGGACCAAAGAUUUAUCGCCCAGGGAUGAGCCCGCGUAGGAUUAGGUAGUUGGUGGGGUAAUGGCCUACCGAGCCGACGAUCCUUAGCUGGUCUGAGAGGAUGAUCAGCCACACUGGGACUGAGACACGGCCCAGACUCCUACGGGAGGCAGCAGUGGGGAAUAUUGGACAAUGGGCGCAAGCCUGAUCCAGCAAUGCCGCGUGAGUGAUGAAGGCCUUAGGGUUGUAAAGCUCUUUUACCAGGGAUGAUAAUGACAGUACCUGGAGAAUAAGCUCCGGCUAACUACGUGCCAGCCGCCGCGGUAA
rnacentral:rRNA from 1 species